UAUAUAUAUAUAUACUAUAUGUAUAUUGUGCUCGCAGAGAAGAUUAGCAUGGCCCCUGCGAAAGGAUGACAUGCAAAUCCGUGAAGCGCUCCAUAUUUUU
ensembl:snRNA U6 U6 spliceosomal RNA